rnacentral:tRNA from 1 species
GCCUGGGUGGCUCAGUCAGUUGAGCAUCUGACUUCAGCUCAGGUCAUGAUCUCGCAGUUUGUGGGUUCGAGCCCCGCAUCGGGCU